rnacentral:rRNA from 1 species
UUUMACUGCACGCCARUGCGAUAAGGGGAUYCCAAGUGCGUAGGCAUAKAGCCUACGCUUUUGUCCACCCUAGGGUGGUGACGAAUAARGGCUGGGCAAGACCGGUGCCMGCCGCCGCGGUAAUACCGGCAGCCCGAGKGAUGGCCGAUCUUAUUGGGCCUAAAGCGUCCGUAGCUGGCCGCACAAGCCCAUCGGGAAAUCCACCUGCUCAACAGGUGGGCGUCCGGUGGAAACUGUGUGGCUUGGGACCGGAAGGCGCGACGGGUACSUCCGGGGUAGGAGUGAAAUCCUGUAAUCCUGGACGGACCGCCGAUGGCGAAAGCACGUCGCGAAGACGGAUCCGACAGUGAGGGACGAAAGCUAGGGUCUCGAACCGGAUUAGAUACCCGGGUAGUCCUAGCCGUAAACACUGCCUGCUAGRUGUGGCACCCACUACGAGUGGGUGCUGUGCCGUAGGGAAGCCGCUAAGCAGGCCGCCUGGGAAGUACGUCCGCAAGGAUGAAACUUAAAGGAAUCGGCGGGGGAGCACUACAACCGGAGGAGCCUGCGGUUUAAUUGGAKUCAACGCCGG